rnacentral:rRNA from 1 species
UACGGGGGGGGCAAGCGUUGUUCGGAAUUCCUGGGCGUAAAGGGCUCGUAGGCGGCCAACUAAGUCGGAUGUGAAAUCCCCAGGCUUAACCUGGGAACUGCAUCCGAUACUGGAUGGCUUGAAUUCGGGAGAGGGAUGCAGAAUUCCAGGUGUAGCGGUGAAAUGCGUAGAUAUCUGGAGGAAUACCGGUGGCGAAGGCGGCAUCCUGGACCGACAUUGACGCUGAGGAGCGAAAGCUAGGGGAGCAAACGGG